UACGGAGGGUGCAAGCGUUAUCCGGAUUCACUGGGUUUAAAGGGUGCGUAGGUGGGCAGGUAAGUCAGUGGUGAAAUCUCCGGGCUUAACUCGGAAACUGCCAUUGAUACUAUCUGUCUUGAAUACCGUGGAGGUUAGCGGAAUAUGUCAUGUAGCGGUGAAAAUGCUUAGAUAUGACAUAGAACACCAAUUGCGAAGGCAGCUGGCUACACGAAUAUUGACACUGAUGCACGAAAAGCGUGGGGAUCAAACAGG
rnacentral:rRNA from 1 species